CGUGGUAUGCCAUUCUUUUUUCUAUAUAUUUAACGUCGCAAAGUUUGAUUCAUGAAUGGUUUGUUGAUGGAUUUUUUUUUUCAUAGGUAUAUGUUUGUCUAUAACCUCCAUAAAAGUGGUUUCAAAUGUGUCAUAUGCUGAAUUUACAUCUGCUGAUUUUUUCUAGAAGUUAAGUUUUUUCCAUUUAAAUCUGUCAAAAAAUG
rnacentral:lncRNA from 1 species